UAAUACAUGCAAGUCGAACGAACUCUGGUAUUGAUUGGUGCUUGCAUCAUGAUUUACAUUUGAGUGAGUGGCGAACUGGUGAGUAACACGUGGGAAACCUGCCCAGAAGCGGGGGAUAACACCUGGAAACAGAUGCUAAUACCGCAUAACAACUUGGACCGCAUGGUCCGAGUUUGAAAGAUGGCUUCGGCUAUCACUUUUGGAUGGUCCCGCGGCGUAUUAGCUAGAUGGUGGGGUAACGGCUCACCAUGGCAAUGAUACGUAGCCGACCUGAGAGGGUAAUCGGCCACAUUGGGACUGAGACACGGCCCAAACUCCUACGGGAGGCAGCAGUAGGGAAUCUUCCACAAUGGACGAAAGUCUGAUGGAGCAACGCCGCGUGAGUGAAGAAGGGUUUCGGCUCGUAAAACUCUGUUGUUAAAGAAGAACAUAUCUGAGAGUAACUGUUCAGGUAUUGACGGUAUUUAACCAGAAAGCCACGGCUAACUACGUGCCAGCAGCCGCGGUAAUACGUAGGUGGCAAGCGUUGUCCGGAUUUAUUGGGCGUAAAGCGAGCGCAGGCGGUUUUUUAAGUCUGAUGUGAAAGCCUUCGGCUCAACCGAAGAAGUGCAUCGGAAACUGGGAAACUUGAGUGCAGAAGAGGACAGUGGAACUCCAUGUGUAGCGGUGAAAUGCGUAGAUAUAUGGAAGAACACCAGUGGCGAAGGCGGCUGUCUGGUCUGUAACUGACGCUGAGGCUCGAAAGUAUGGGUAGCAAACAGGAUUAGAUACCCUGGUAGUCCAUACCGUAAACGAUGAAUGCUAAGUGUUGGAGGGUUUCCGCCCUUCAGUGCUGCAGCUAACGCAUUAAGCAUUCCGCCUGGGGAGUACGGCCGCAAGGCUGAAACUCAAAGGAAUUGACGGGGGCCCGCACAAGCGGUGGAGCAUGUGGUUUAAUUCGAAGCUACGCGAAGAACCUUACCAGGUCUUGACAUACUAUGCAAAUCUAAGAGAUUAGACGUUCCCUUCGGGGACAUGGAUACAGGUGGUGCAUGGUUGUCGUCAGCUCGUGUCGUGAGAUGUUGGGUUAAGUCCCGCAACGAGCGCAACCCUUAUUAUCAGUUGCCAGCAUUAAGUUGGGCACUCUGGUGAGACUGCCGGUGACAAACCGGAGGAAGGUGGGGAUGACGUCAAAUCAUCAUGCCCCUUAUGACCUGGGCUACACACGUGCUACAAUGGAUGGUACAACGAGUUGCGAACUCGCGAGAGUAAGCUAAUCUCUUAAAGCCAUUCUCAGUUCGGAUUGUAGGCUGCAACUCGCCUACAUGAAGUCGGAAUCGCUAGUAAUCGCGGAUCAGCAUGCCGCGGUGAAUACGUUCCCGGGCCUUGUACACACCGCCCGUCACACCAUGAGAGUUUGUAACACCCAAAGUCGGUGGGGUAACCUUUUAGGAACCAGCCGCCUAAGGUGGGACAGAUGAUUAGGGUGAAGUCGUAACAAGGUAGCCGUAGGAGAACC
rnacentral:rRNA from 1 species